AAACAACUCUUUAUUUAAAUAAAUACGAAAGAGAAACAGUAACUGUUGCCUGCCAAUCAGAAGAGACUACACACAUACAUGUUAUCUCCUUCGCCCUCUGUUGGGUCAGGAUAACAGGUUAAGAUAGAAAUUCCACUGACAUUUCCUUAAACAUAGAAGAACCAUAUAACAAAAUCAUCUUAAGCAUAUAACAACACAAUCUGUUAAGGGGUUACUGUGUGUACAAGUACUACAGUUAUCUUACAAAUACUAACAUUAGCUGGAUUUCAGUUCAUGAUAAAUGGAUACAAAACAAGUUAAACCUUCAUAUCACUUUUUUCUUUUUUUAGUUCGACAUCAAUAUAAAUACCAUGACAUUAUGUAUAUAAAAGCUACAGUUUAACAGGGCAUUGACAUGAUUAUUCACAGGCUUUACUUGUACAUUGGAGAGAAAAAACAAAAAAGGGGUAUACAGUGACACUCACAAUGAGAAGCUGCAUGUUGUUCAUGGAUGAAUCACACAGACAGGAAGAGUUUGCUGUACUUCCACACUUGUGAGAACAUUCUUAUACAUUCACCAGGAAUCAGAUUAUUGCGCUCUUUCUCUCCUACUGUUUGGAUCCACACACCCCUGGUAAAGAUGAAUGUAGCUGUUAUUGCAGUACCAAAAUUUCACACGGAAACAUACAGGUUUUGAUUUGAGUAGAUUUAUUCAGUGGAUUAAAACACAUUUUGAGAAAUAAUGAAUUCACAAGUAACUCAAAUAUUUGGAGCCAGCUCCUAAAUACAUGUUUGAAUUAAUCUUUUAUUUUUUUCAGGCUGACAGAGUUUUCAGGAACAUCUUAUAAGGAAACCAUGAUGUUAUGUUUCUUUAGUAAAAAUGUUACCUGACAUAGAGGUCUAUUUUAUAUAGGCUGGAUGGGGACUAAUGCUGAAUUUAUCCUGCUAUCAGGUACAGUGAGCAGGAAGGUAAAGGAGGUAAAGCAAAGCUCCCUGUUAGACUAAGGUCUUAAGUAACAGAGACUUCAGGUGGGCUUGGCCAGAGAUAAAUGAUAAAUAUGUGGAAAAGCAUGUCCACUCUUAAGUAUAGUGAAGGAGCUGUGAUGCUGCGGGCCUGUUUCGCUUCCAAAGGCCCUGGGAACUUUUUACAGCGCAUGCAUCACAAACCUCAUGAGAUAUUGACUUUAAAUAAAAAUCUGUUAGACUUUGACAGAAAACUGAAAAUAGGUUGUCACUUGACAUUUUAACAGGAUUACAAGAUCAACCUUCCCUGGCUAUCUCAGUUCCCAGGCCUAAAUUCUGUGGGCUGAGCUGAAAAGAAGAGAACAUCAGAGUUAACCCAGGACUGUGGAUGAUUUAAAGACUGUGCAGAGAAGGAGGUUCAAAGAAGGUUCUGUCUGUUCCAGUCUCCUAUAAUGUUUUGUUCUCUUGCAAAAGAGGUGCUGUAGAAAAUAUUAACAGCUGGGGUGACAAUAAUUUUGCCAUUGAUAAAAGAACAAUUAUUCGCUAAUAGGAUUUUAUCCCCACUGAAUAAAUGUACUUGAAUUCAAGGCUGUAUUCUUCUAAAAUGAGAGAUUAUGUUACUACAAUAAGGUUUUUUGUUAUACAUCUUUAGCAGAUGGUGCCAAAUAAAGUGACAAGCGCUGGAGCUGCCAGCUGGGCAUUACAUUUAGUUUCCUUGACACAAAAAUAACUCUGUUCUUAAUAAACCAAAUAAUCCAAAUAUGUUUGCUGGACUCAUUGUAGCUAAAUUCCAUUAAAAAAAACAAUUGACUUUAAAAGCCUUAAACCAUUGAUCGACGGAAAACGCAACAUAUGAUAAAGUUGUAAAGAUUUUAUUAUUCCCCACAUCUACAAUUUCAUUUAUUUCCUCUGCAGGGCAACACUCUCAACUGGAAGGGAAUUUAUUUGAGUUGUAUGAGAGAUGGUGGCAAUGGUCAAAUAUUACUAACAAUACUGUUGUGAUUAAAAAUGAAUUGACAGACACAUGCUACUCACAGCUUCUUCAGUGUGGGUGUUUUUCUUGAUAUAGAACAAGUGUAACAAUAAACUAGCCAUACAUUUCUAAAGCCUCUGGUGUCAGAGGCUUUUGAAAGAGCCCCUGACACCAAAGUAACCAAAGAAUUAGUCCAAGAAUAAAAUGAACAUUUAUCCUGUAAAACUAUAACAACAAAAAAGCUGCAAUAACCUAUUUGCAUUAGUGUGUGCACCCUUAAACCAAUACUUAGCUGAAGGAUUUUUUUUCAUCAUUCUUCCUGAAUUCAAACCUGCUAAAAUUACAGUGAAUCUGAUAAUCAAAAAUAAAGUUCAGCUGUCCAAGUAGUAUUUUCCUGACAUCCUUGCAUUCCAAAGACGCAGUAUGCAGAGUUACUAUGCUCCAAAUGGAUCGUAUUGUAUAAAGGUAUUAGUCAGGAGAAGAAACAAACAAAAAAAGGAAAAUCUGACAUUUCUUUAAGGUUACGUUCACAAUGCAGGUCUUGAUGCUCAAUUCCGAUUUUUUUAAACUACUAUUUAAUUGCGACCGCCAUCAGACAUCAAUCUGAAUAGGUCACGACGCCAAAACGCCCCGCAUGUGGAGAUCGAGAAUGUAGACAUCAUAUAGCAGCACACUGUUAACGGAAAUAAUAAUGGAUAUCGGCGUCUCGGUGUUAUUAUUAGGUUGUGGAGCAAUAAGAGCCGACAAUAUCGUGACCACAUCAUAACAAGAGAAAGAAAAGUAAGAAAAAAGAGACCAAAAGUAUUGACAAUGGCCUUAUGUGGAGCAGUGUCUACCCAACGUGUAUGGUGGUGGUACCAUCAUGCUCUGGGCUUACAUUUCUUCAGAAAACAUAGGAUUUUGGCAGUGUGAAUGAAAUUAUGAAAUGUUUCAGAACGCAGUCUGUUUUGACCAUAAAUCUUCAUGUGUUUUCUAGAAAGGUGAAGAUUAAGAUGGAUUUUGUUUUCAGAAUCACUGUUCAGGCAUGAAUGAAAACAACCAAAGGUGGCUUCAGCAGACGAAAGGUAAAGAUUUGGGAUGGCCUUGCUACAAAAGAGAUCUGUGGAGAUGCCCUCACAAUCUGAGAGAUACGGAGAUUUUUUUUUUACCUAGUCAAUAUGUGUGAUGCUGACAGACUUCUAUAUUGAAUGCUGAAACUGAACAAAACAUGUUUUACCACAGUAUUAGUUUAGUUUACACUUAUGCAACCAAGUUGUUGCAGCUUUUUGAUUUUAUCAUUUUAUUAUCUAACAGUGUUUUAUGUUUUCCAGCUGAACUGUACAGAAUGUAUGUCACAUGAUCUGUGCAGAAAGUUUUGAAAGCAUUUAUCGUGGACUCAGUUCUUUACAUCAUCAAAAUCUGGUUUUCCAACAGGGUUCUGAACAUUUUUGAAAGCAACUGUAUUGUUUGUUUCAAAGCUCAAAUAUUUGAUACACCUUUAUUGUAACCAGUUUUACACUAGUUAUUAACCAAGUCUCAACCUUCAAACAGCUAAGUCACAACAUAUUAUGUCCUGACUCUUGCCAACUAUUCAAACAGAAGACUGAACGUUUUUUUCCCCUCUGCAAAUUUAAAGCGUGGGGAGAGCAGCGCUGUGACUACCUCUCUGUGAACUCUGUCAUCUUUAGCCUUCAGCAUGGACUCGUCAACAGGGACAAGGUGAAACAAGGCGGCAGCUGCCCCUCAAUGCUGGUGUGGAUUCAUCAAUAUAUAAUGACUUGCUGAUAAACUGACAGCUGCAGAUGG